rnacentral:snRNA from 1 species
GUCCCUUCGGGAACAUCCGAUAAAAUUGGAACUAAACAGAGAAGAUUAGCAUAGCCCCUGUGCAAGAAUGAUACGCACAAAAAAAAAAAAAAAAAAAAAAAA